UACAGAGGGGGCAAGCGUUGUUCGGAAUUACUGGGCGUAAAGGGCGCGUAGGCGGCCGCCUAAGUCAGACGUGAAAUCCCUCGGCUCAACCGGGGAACUGCGUCUGAUACUGGAUGGCUUGAGUGCAGGAGAGGAACGCGGAAUUCCAGGUGUAGCGGUGAAAUGCGUAGAUAUCUGGAGGAACACCGGUGGCGAAGGCGACAUCCUGGACCGGUAUUGACGCUGAGGCGCGAAAGCCAGGGGAGCAAACGGG
rnacentral:rRNA from 1 species